GUUAGAGUUACGCGCGCGUAGCGUCUAAAUAAGGAGAAGGUAGUUAGUCGAGCCUGUAGCUCAGGCAACCACCAAGCUGUAAUGUUGCGGUCUCCAAUGCAAGCAGUUGAAAACCGGAGUGCCAAUUAAGGCAGAAACCAGAACGAAAAACAUGACUUGUCACCUCACUCCAUCCGUACCUCGGAGGAGUUGCCCUGUUAGAUUCCUGCUGGAGGGCUGUUUUGAACAUUGACUGGACUGGUAUGUGAAAUCUGUUUGAGAACAUGGAGUUUGCAAGGAAGGGGUGUCAAACUGAUUUCUCCCAUUUCUGAAAAGAAAAUCUUUUUGUUGAAUUCAGAGUGAAGUAUAUUUUUUGUGCUGGAAGAGUGAUUGAAGGAACUUCACAAUGCAGUAUUGUAUUUCCUGAGCAAACUGUGUUUGCGGUGUUCCAAAAACAACCAUGCAUGUUUGGUGACCCAAUCCUAUACACUAGAACAUUAGAAUGACAAACUUUGGAAUACACUAUACUUUAUCCUUUUGCCUUCAACCCUUUGGCUAAAGUGUUUAAUUCUGCAGAGAAAUCCAUUUUAAGCUCUUUUUUCCUGAAGCAUGUCUGUAAGUCUGUGUUUAUGUGUGUAUUUUGCGGUUAUGUGAAGAGAUAAACAUUUAUGCUUUUAUAUUACUGUGUAUGAUGACCAUUUAUUAA